rnacentral:lncRNA from 1 species
UAUCAUUAAAAAUGCGUGUAACUAAGUGGGUGUAGUUGUUGUUGUGUGGAAAUUUGGAAGACUGCAUUAAGUUUACAUUUCUCGAUAAUUUAUUUUAAUAUAAAGAGUAAAAUAUAAGUAAUUUUAUUUACACGUUCUGUCGAGUCAAGUGAGGCAUAUAAGUAAUAUUGCACAAGGGAAAAAUGAUUUUCCGGGUAUACAAAUUACGAACCACAUUGGACUCAUUACUAGACAUAACUUUUUAAAGUUAUACAUAUAUAGUGUAUGCAUAGUUAUACAGCUGCGAAACCUGGAUAGUAAGCACAAUCUAGAAGAGAAUGAUAGAAGAAUUUGAAAUAUGAUUUCACUGUAAGAAACUUAAGAUUUCAUGGUUUGACAGAAUAAUAAUUGAAAAAGUUUUAAGAAGAAUUAAGGCAAAUUUGAAUCGUAAUAUUUUAAUUAGAUACUAAACCAGGAAUCAUGAAAAUGUAUUGUAGUUUAUUAUUCGAUAUUAAAUAAAAGGUAAAAUUGGAAGAGGAAGGCCGCGUAUGGAAUGUAUACCGCUAAUUCUCAAUUACACGGUAAUGAAAAAUUAUCGAGAGCAGAAGGAUUUGAAUUUUGAUAGAAAAGCAUGAAAGACUGUAAUAAACCAAUCGAAAUAUUGAAGACCAGAUGAAGAAAAAGGAGGAGAAGAAAUCAGAAGUGCACGUUAACUGCAUUCAGUUUACAUUUUUCAGUUAUUUAAAUAAAGAAAAUAAUGAUUAAAAAUUAAUGCUGAUAAAACCAAAAUAAGGGGCAACUUAAAAGCAGUGAAUAUUCUAAAAAUUGAAAGGGCUAAUACACGAAAAAGUCCAUGAAUUCAAUGUACUCGAGUAAUAUACUCUUAGUGUAUACUUUGGUACGAUAUGCGCGGAAAAUGACUGGACUAAAAAAAUAGAUAAGACCGAAAAGUAAAUUUUGCGUUAACAAAAUACUUUUAAUUCAAACUAUUCUUUAGGAAAACUUAAGUAAGACUAUACAUAGCUAUAAUAAUACAAAUGCUUGCAUUCAUAAUUUGCAUAACACCCCAAUAAACAGUUAUUUUAAAGAGCAAAGACAAUAGCUAGGCGGCCAUAUGAGUGAAGAGAAAAGAGGAAACUGACACUCCGUCAAAGCAGCACUAGAAUAAAUACUAUAAUGAAUAAAAUUGUAAAAUACAGGGAAAGAUAUUUGUGAAAGGCUGGGAAGAGUUACGCGACCAAACAGGACUUAAGAAAUUUGAACGAAAGAGAUAAAUGACGAGAUAUAUUUUUAGUAGUAGUAAAAUAUAAGCAAUUUUAUUUAAACAUUAUAUCGAAUCACAUUAGUGUGUCAAUGCGUGAGUUUAUGUUAAAAAUACGGUUCAUAGGAAGAACUCGUAUGUAUUGACAAGUGGUCUGAUUUCAAAAUAUAUUUUGUGAAAAAGAACAAGAUUCAGUUUUACAAAUCGUAUUAGACUUUAAGGACGUAUAAGACGUAUUGAACGUAUAGGUAACGUAUUUUAAAUUAUUCAGGCGUUUAAACCAACUUAACUUUUAGGUUGUUCGGGCAUGUCACGAGACGCGAAAAAUCUGAAGCAGCAAGAAUUGCAAUAAAAAUAAACGUAGGAGAAAAUGUGGCAAGGAAAAUCAAAAAGAUGUGGUUGGACAUAAUAUAGAACAGCCGGUUGGAGAUCAAGACGAGUGAAAUUUUAGAACGAAGUUGACCGAUCCCAAAAACGUGUAGUUGGGUGAAAGCAAAAGAGAAGAAGACAUUUAGCAAUAUAAAUUCUUAAAUGUACAUUUUCAAAAUUCAAGACCAACGCUGUUUGUAAGAAGUUUUUUCUUUUUUUCAAAUCACCAAUAAAAAAUACCCAAAUCAAUUUAUUCUCGAAAGUGAAGCAAAUUUGUGUACAAAAACGCGUCGGCUCCGAGACAUUAUUAAUAUUUUAUGCAAUAUGAUCAGCUGGUAUUAUUUUUGAAUAUUGUCGCAUUUUAUCAUGGGAAUAUAUUGUAAAAUUCAACACUGCAUAAUUGGGAUUAUCAUAAAAUAACAUCCAGUUAUAUUUAACGACGGUUCUGAACUGAAAUUAACAAACAUUUUGAUCGUUACCAAGCAUUGAUUUUACAAGUACGACUCUACAAAAAUAGAAAGGCCAAAAAUAUUAUGAUUUGUUAAUGGUUAGAAGAUCAUCGAUUUCGUCCAACUAUUUACCAUAAUUUAUAACAUUUUCCCGGACUGAUUAAAUAUUAUUCGUCGUAUUUUACUAGUAGUGAUCAAAACCAAGACCAAUACACAAACAGUCAAUUUUUCGCGUAUUUCUCGUACGUUUCAUAUUCAUUAAGAACGCUGCAGAAUUAUCUACAGCGUUUUAACUACACCACGUACGACCAUUGUUGCCAUACGAGUACAUGUGUUAUUAUUUAUUAGCAGGGCUCAUAACUUGUGUAGCAUUUGCAUAUAUAUUUUUUUUUAAUGCUCAUAGAGAUACCUAUGUGUGCCAUAAAUUUGUUUCAGAAAACCACGAAGCUAUAUACAAAAGUUUAUGUUGCAUGUGUUGUGAAGUUUAUGUGUUAUUUUGCAUUUGUUGUGUGUUAGUCGCUAUUUCAAUACCGUUUAAGUGCUAUUUUGCUUCGUUUGUGUGUUCAGCGGUAUUCCAAUACCAUAGCCAUCAAAACAUACUUAAUAACAAAAAUAAUUUAAACAGUCUUAAAUAUCUUCAUGUUUAUUUCUUUCUAUUACAGCAUCCACUGCCACUCCCAACAAUAAAGGAACGAUAGCCGUACGCGGUGUAGAUAAAAAUGGGUGAACUAUAACUAUUAGACGACUAGUGCCCUCGGUAUAUAACAGGGGCGAUAACACUCUUGAAAGUUCUUGAUAAAUAAAGAGCGUACAAGAAAAUACCAACGUGAGUCGUGAAUGCCCGUCAACGUUAUUUGUCGUCGCCGCAAACGGUUGGUCAAGUUCUUUGUACGGAAAUCUUACAGUCUUGCUUUAUUUACAAGGUUCAUAAAAAAAAUUAAAUGCCUGAUACCUAUAAGGGUUAGUAUUCUAUUUAUCAUCUCAAAAAUGAGAUAACUCUACAAGAUGAAAAUAUAAAUGUGAUUUAAAUUGAUCCAUGUUAUUUUACGCCGAACCUAGAUGCAAUAAAAUGAUACCCAUCAUAAUAAAACCCUAUUUUAAAUAUGAUCUUAUAAUAUAAGUUUUUAGACACAUGUGAUCGAUGGUGUAAAUAAAUAUUGUUGCUAAUAUUGCGUUUUUGAAUAAUUGAAUCCUAAACUUUUUUCUCCUUGAUCGUCGCCAGGACAACGUGGUGUGGGAUUAUCCAAGUUGUUCAGAUAGUUCACUAGGUACUAAAAUAAAUAUUGCACAGUCUUAUCUGGUUUCCAAUAUUUGGUCUUACCCUAAACGUCAUUCAAAAAUAAAGAUAUUUGUAAUAAUAGUAGUUUAAGAAAAUAAUAAUAAUAAUAAAAAAGUAGUAAGACUGAAAGAAUCUUAAGGUAUUGGACUUGUUUUGAUCUCGGUCUUGGUUUUGCUGGUGUGGUCUUAAUCUGGCUGCAAAAUUAAGACAUUUGUAUUAUUUAUUUUGUUUUUAACCAAAUAGUUAGGUAUGGAUGUUAGGACACUUUGUAUAAUAAUUAAAAAACGAUGAAUAUUAUUUACCCGAUUACUUAGAUUAACUGAUUUGUAAUACUUAAAAUGUGAUUUAUUUAUUUUUUUUUUUUUUUUUUUAUUUGUGUAUAACUAUUUACCUAUUACCAAACAAUUUUUAUUAUAUUGAUUUUUCCAUUUUACAUACUUAAUUAUCUC